rnacentral:rRNA from 1 species
GACGAACGCUGGCGGCGUGCUUAACACAUGCAGGUCGAACGAUGAAGCUGGAGCUUGCUCCGGUGGAUUAGUGGCGAACGGGUGAGUAACACGUGAGCAAUCUGCCCUUGACUCUGGGAUAACUGCGGGAAACUGUAGCUAAUACCGGAUACGAGGCUCGAAGGCAUCUUCGGGUCUGGAAAGAAUUUCGGUCAAGGAUGAGCUCGCGGCCUAUCAGCUUGUUGGUGAGGUAAUGGCUCACCAAGGCGACGACGGGUAGCCGGCCUGAGAGGGUGACCGGCCACACUGGGACUGAGACACGGCCCAGACUCCUACGGGAGGCAGCAGUGGGGAAUAUUGCACAAUGGGCGAAAGCCUGAUGCAGCAACGCCGCGUGAGGGAUGAAGGCCUUCGGGCUGUAAACCUCUUUUAGCAGGGAAGAAGCGAAAGUGACGGUACCUGCAGAAAAAGCACCGGCUAACUACGUGCCAGCCGCCGCGGUAA